rnacentral:rRNA from 1 species
ACGAACGCUGGCGGCAGGCCUAACACAUGCAAGUCGAGCGCGCCCUUCGGGGUGAGCGGCGGACGGGUUAGUAACGCGUGGGAACGUGCCCUUUGGUACGGAAUAGCCUCUGGAAACGGAGAGUAAUACCGUAUGAGCCCUUCGGGGGAAAGAUUUAUCGCCAAAGGAUCGGCCCGCGUUAGAUUAGGUAGUUGGUGGGGUAAUGGCCUACCAAGCCUACGAUCUAUAGCUGGUUUUAGAGGAUGAUCAGCAACACUGGGACUGAGACACGGCCCAGACUCCUACGGGAGGCAGCAGUGGGGAAUCUUGGACAAUGGGGGCAACCCUGAUCCAGCCAUGCCGCGUGAGUGAUGAAGGCCUUAGGGUCGUAAAGCUCUUUCGCCUGUGAAGAUAAUGACGGUAGCAGGUAAAGAAACCCCGGCUAACUCCGUGCCAGCAGCCGCGGUAAUACGGAGGGGGUUAGCGUUGUUCGGAAUUACUGGGCGUAAAGCGCACGUAGGCGGACCAAAAAGUUGGGGGUGAAAUCCCGGGGCUCAACCCCGGAACUGCCUCCAAACUGUUGGUCUAGAGUUCGAGAGAGGUGAGUGGAAUUCCGAGUGUAGAGGUGAAAUUCGUAGAUAUUCGGAGGAACCCAGUGGCGAAGCGGCUCACUGGCUCGAACUGAC